CCUAAACAAACUAUUGGGUAUACCUUCUACCUCAGAUCUGAAGGCAAAAUCUUUGUUGCCAAGAAUGGAUCCUUUCUAGAGAAAGAGUUUCUCUCGAAAGAAGUAAGUGGGAGGAAAGUACAACUUGAUGAAGUAUUGCCUCUUGAAUCGGAGAGUGGCGCAGCUCAGGAAAAUGUUCCUGAGGUGCCUGCACCGACUAGAGAGGAAGUUGAUGAUGAUGAUCAUGAAACUUCAGAUCAAGUUGCUACUGAACUUCGUAGGUCCACAAGGACACGUUCCGCACCAGAGUGGUACGGCAACCCUGUCCUGCAAAUCAUGUUGUUAGACAAUGUUGAACCUUCGAACUAUGAAGAAGCGAUGGCGGGCCCGGAUUCCGACAAAUGGCUGGAAGCCAUGAAAUCCGAGGUAGGAUCCAUGUAUGAAAACGAAGUAUGGACUUUGACUGACUUGCCCGAUGAUCGGCGA
rnacentral:rRNA from 1 species